rnacentral:rRNA from 1 species
UACGAAGGGGGCUAGCGUUGUUCGGAAUUACUGGGCGUAAAGCGUAUGCAGGCGGAUCGUUAAGUCGGGGGUGAAAUCCCGAGGCUCAACCUCGGAACUGCCUUCGAUACUGGCGAUCUUGAGUCCGGGAGAGGUGAGUGGAACUCCGAGUGUAGAGGUGAAAUUCGUAGAUAUUCGGAAGAGCACCAGUGGCGAAGGCGGCACACUGGCCCGGUACUGACGCUGAGAUACGAAAGCGUGGGGAGCAAACAGG